rnacentral:rRNA from 1 species
AGCGAACGCUAGCGGCGGGCCUAACACAUGCAAGUCGAGCGGAGGGGCAACCCUCAGCGGCGAACGGGUGAGUAACACGUAGGUAAUGUACCCUCCGGUGGGGAAUAACCGCGGGAAACCGUGGCUAAUACCGCAUAUGUCUUUCGAGAUGAAAGCAGCAAUGCGCCGGUGGAGCAGCCUGCGGCCGAUUAUUUAGUCCUAGUUGGUAGGGUAAUGGCCUACCAAGGGUACGAUCGGUAGCUGGUCUGAGAGGAUGAUCAGCCGACACUGGAACUGAGACACGGUCCAGACUCCUACGGGAGGCAGCAGUGGGGAAUAUUGCGCAAUGGGCGAAAGCCUGACGCAGCCACGCCGCGUGAGUGAUGAAGGCCUUGGUUGUAAGACUCUGUC